rnacentral:lncRNA from 1 species
AUGAUCUAUUACCAGACCCUACUGCAUGAAUGUGGACUCAGGUGGUGCUGAACCUGCAAACAACCACGAUUACAGAUGGCAGGUGGAUGGAGCUAAAGAUAGCUCAAGACAGAAAUUCUUCUGUAUCUCCUUACUAUUUUCUUCUAUCAGACGUAGAAAAUUUAAAACAUAAAUUUAAGAGAUGGGGUAGUAUGCCAAGUACUUAGCAAAACUCACUGGACAAAAAAACUAAAUUCAAAUCUAAGCCCAACAGUGAAGAUAUUAUUAGAAAUUUCAUCAUAUGUAAAUUAAAUAUGAUAAUUACCUUCCUUCUUGUUUCCCUCUAUAGAGGAUGGAACGGUACCAGUUACCCUAGUUGGGGAGGUGGUAGAGGUGAUGAAGAGUCACAUUAUGAGAUAUUGUCAGUAACAUUUCCUGUCUAUGGCUUCUGCAUAGACUCCUGCAGGUAUUCUGAGCAGGGAGAACAAGAGAACCACUGCCAGCUCAAGACUUCCAGGAGCCCAGCAGAAUCAGGAGAGUUUGGAAUGAAGGACUUAAGUGGAAGCAUCUAACAUUGUUGUUCCCUCUUCCCCAAGAACAGAAGAAAUGGGUGAGUGAUAUGAACCAUUUUUAUGUUUGUCUAUCACAGGUCCCAGACUAAAACAAAAGACAUUUAAGGACAGAAGGCAGUUUUAUCCCCCCGGGGCCUGUCAAUCUGUCUCUUUGCUUACACAAGUGCAAACUGAGAGUUGUGGGAAACAGAAAAACUGUGAAGUGCUUGCCAACAAGAAGCCAAUGCUUCAGGUGGGAAGACAGAACAGCAAGCAGCUAUGAAAUAGUUGUAACUAUUUUAUAAUAAUUUUCUAAAUGUGGUCAUCUUACUCCUGUACUAAAACAGGAAGGGACUGAAGAGUCACUUACAAAUGUGACACCUUUUUACAAGAAAGAAAGUGUUUAAUGUAAAGAGAUGGGAACUAAUCCGUAAUUGUGGUAGAAUGGAAACCCUGAUUUUCCAGGAUUAUAGAAUUCAAAGUAUUUUGCUUCUGCUCUUAUUUGGAUCAUUUUGUAUCAACUUCAUGAACUUGAAAGUUGUAGAACCAGAAAAAAAAAAAAAAAACAUUGCUAGAAUG